rnacentral:miRNA from 10 species
UGUGUGGAUAAACGGAAAUGA